rnacentral:lncRNA from 1 species
GCGGCAUUACGCCGCCCACGCUCCCCCAUGCUGACUCCAUUAUUCAGCAGAACGCAGCCAGGCCAGAAGAAGCUUCCUGCCAUGCUGGAUGAAGGAUGGGCAACACACCUUGCAGACCUCAGCCCCUUUCUACGUGCCGUGCGGGACACAUUGGCUGCUCUCUGGAUAAGCGGCUUCAUCAGAGGUAUCACAGAGCAGAAAUGUUACCUACUGGCUGGCCAUACAGCCUGCUGUGCAGGAGAUGGAGAAGAACAAGAGAGGCACAAAGAGCUGUGAUGCUCAGCGGAAGACCCAAGCCCAGCACAUAGUGAGGGCCGGGCAAUGCUUCAGCAUCACUUCAGUCAUCUUUCCCCACUGGGCAGUGCCAUACGAGCUCCCUGGUCUCAGCAAAAAGGCCACCAAGAGCAAUUUUGACCCAUCCCACAGCUGCCCUGGCCAUGCAUUGGUGUUUGUUGCUCCCCACAGUCGCUGCUGCAGGCAGGCUGUGUUGUAUUUUAGCCCCGACAUUACCCAGCAGGCAGCAAGAACUGGAUACUCAUUAACUACACUGAGAUGGGAGCAGCUCCUCCUAUAAAAGUUUUGUUUUUGCUCGGUGACAUUUGCAAGAGAGAGAGCCCUUGAAAGCUGCGUCGUUGGACACUCAAUUCAUAGCCCUCGUUCAUUCCUGCUCCCUCGCUGUCACUUAGCAGAAAACAUUCCGAAAUCCAAUAUUUGAUCUCUCUCCCUCCUCCUCCUCCUGCCCUUUGAUCAUCUCCCUUCUGCACCUCUACCCCCGGUAGGACAAAGAUGCUUAACAAACGGGAGCAAUGGGCUGAGGAGCGAGCUCCGGGAGGGAUCCAGGGCAAGGCAAUCAGAUUUACAAAGCACUUGCUAUAGGCACCGCCAAGAUUUUGGCAGAGAUGUUGAGAGAUUUGUGUGCUGCAUGCCAAAUGUUCUAGAGAGGGGCUCUCAGCUGGUUAGCAGGGAGUUAAGCAUGGCAAAUAGUUAACAGUUAAUGGAUUGCCGAACACUUGGCCAAUGAGUCAGUGCUCAGCUUAUAACUAUGGCACGUAGCCAUCAGCAGCAACAUCUACUGAUGGAUUUAUACCAAUCUACUACUAAUAUCUGCAAUAUGUUUCUAACAUCUGCUAACCCCUUAUUAACUCUAUACAGACUCUUGAAGAGCUAUCAAUAAAUGUAACUUUAAUAGGAAGGCUGACCCUGUUGCUAGCAUCAGAACAGAAGCAGAAAUCUCAUUAAAUCAACUUUCCUAGCUGGGCAUCUUUUCUCUGACAGAAAUCUCAUGAGAGCAUCGGGCAGGAUUGGAGCAGCGCCUGUCCUGAGCAGGGAGGAACAAUCCCUUCUGUGGCCCUCAGCACGAGCAGCAAAAUCCCAAAGCUAUCUGAGGCUGAGCACAGCCUUUGGGGGCACCUCCACCCGCCCCAGAGACGUUGCAAGUAGGCAUAAUUUUCUCUAGUGGUAGAAACUGAGCUAAAACGCAGCCAACAGCUCAAGGUCAGAGCAUCCCUGCCAGCUUGUCCUUGGGACUGCAGAGCCCCUGCCCUACACCUCAAGGCAGAGCUCUGCAUCAGGCCGUGCAUUCCCCUUCUCUCCUCCACAGCCACUCCACGCUGUUGGUAUUCAAGUUCCAAACCAUUAAAAGAAAAAGUUCCUAACAAGCUCGAGUGCAGUGACCUCAUUCCGCAUGCAGCAGCCUCGUGUGUUGCAGCAGAUAUUUUAUUCUUCCCAUAUUAGAGGUGAAAAGCGUGUAUUUAGGGAAGGCACCACGGUGUGAGACGUCAGGAAGGAUGGCAGGGAGUCAGCUUUCCCUUCCCUGGAGGAGGCUGUCCUCUCUGCUCACAGCCUGCUCACCCACGCACCCCACUGCCAACACAACUCAAUCCAUGGGGCAAACUGAGGCAGGCGGGCUCACGGGGCCACGUUUCUGCUGCUUGUGUGGCUGUGCUCCAUUGCCAGCUCAGCUCUGGGGGCAGUUUGCAGCAGCAGCAUUCACGCACCCUGCGUGGACGGGGCCAGAUCCCAAGCUAAAGCUCAGCUCCUCCACCCCCUGCAGCCUUCAAAGGCUCACACUGCACCAGCUUCAUUCACCCCUUUCAUCCA